rnacentral:rRNA from 1 species
AGUGAACGCUGGCGGUAGGCCUAACACAUGCAAGCCGAACGGCAGCACAGUAAGAGCUUGCUCUUACGGGUGGCGAGUGGCGGACGGGUGAGGAAUACAUCGGAAUCUACUUUUUCGUGGGGGAUAACGUAGGGAAACUUACGCUAAUACCGCAUACGACCUACGGGUGAAAGCAGGGGAUCUUCGGACCUUGCGCGAUUGAAUGAGCCGAUGUCGGAUUAGCUAGUUGGCGGGGUAAAGGCCCACCAAGGCGACGAUCCGUAGCUGGUCUGGGAGGAUGAUCAGCCACACUGGAACUGAGACACGGUCCAGACUCCUACGGGAGGCAGCAGUGGGGAAUAUUGGACAAUGGGCGCAAGCCUGAUCCAGCCAUACCGCGUGGGUGAAGAAGGCCUUCGGGUUGUAAAGCCCUUUUGUUGGGAAAGAAAAGCAGCAGGUUAAUACCCCGCUGUUCUGACGGUACCCAAAGAAUAAGCACCGGCUAACUUCGUG